UAGUAGCAGCGAGUAGCAGUUUAGUAAUUUCCUAUAAAAUUUCUAGGAAAUUACUAAACUGCUGUUCACUGCUACAGCAUUUUACUGUCCAUGAAAACCCUCCAUAACAGUGUCUAAACAGCCGAACAGCGUUGUGUUUGCGCUAUAAUUUUAGGUUAUAUAGGUUAGGGUUGACGCGGUACUUUCUCACACUUUUAUGUUGAAAUCAAGACAAGCAAAAGUGGUAAUGGUAUUGUGAGUGACAUAUGCAGGCAUAUGGGCACUUUUCCUUUCCGGACGAUUGACGCAUAUACAGUAAUUGUCACGCAAUGGUUUGCUUACAAUCUCUUUAGACUCAAGGCUUUAUAACAAGACGAAAUUUUUUUACUUUGGGAAUAUGACACGCUCACAUGUAAAAUACCAAAUUGCUAGAGAUGAUGUUGAUACAUCCGAGUACUUGCCACAAAAUGCUCCAGAUUUCCAAAAUGUGACGAAGCCAGAACCUACAUUUUGGAGAAUAGCAUCCCACGUGUUUUCAUUGAUCUCCGCUUACUUUAUUUUGUCGAUAAGCCUUACAUUUUAUAAUCCAUGGCUUUACAAUACAUAUGGAUUUGAUUUUCCACUUGGGGUUGUAGUUUGCCACUUGGUCAUAAAAUUUGCACUGUCCGCAUUAAUAAGAUGCAUUAGAAGAUGUUACAAUGGUAAACGGAUAAAUCUUCCAUGGCAAAAUAUAAUUUACUCAAUAAUGGUACCUGGCAUAGCCAGCGGUGUCGAUAUUGGUUUAUCAAAUUGGGCACUUUCAUUGAUCUCGAUAUCUUUAGUCACUAUGACUAAAUCAACCACUAUUAUAUUUAUUCUUGGAUUUUCUCUUCUAUUCAAAUUAGAGAAAAAGUCGUGGUCUCUAGUAGGAAUAGUGGCGAUGAUAGCAGGAGGAUUAGCAAUGUUUACUUAUAAAUCUACUCAAUUUGGCAUUCUUGGUUUUAUAUUGUGUCUCUUGGCAUCAUUCGCAAGUGGUAUUCGAUGGACUAUGACACAACUCAUUAUGCAAAGAUCCAAACUUGGUCUCCAUGAUCCAAUAGACAUGAUGUAUUAUAUGCAGCCUUGGAUGCUGUUACCCGCAAUGUCAGUGACUUUGUGGUUUGAAGGUGGCAGAAUAUACGACGGUAUUAGAAUCACCGAUUGGGGCAAUAUCGGUAGCAUUUUACUGACUACAGGUGCUGUAGUAGCAGGUGCCAUUUUAGCAUUUAGUAUGGAAGUGAUGGAAUUCUUAGUUGUUACUUAUACCUCUAGUCUGACAUUGUCGAUCUCGGGAAUAUUUAAGGAAAUAUGUACAUUAGCGUUGGCCUUUGUGUUGAAAGGUGACCAAAUGACUAGCCUUAACUUUGUAGGAUUGUUAAUGUGCCUUGGUGGUAUAAUACUUCACGUUAUCCAGAAGGUAUUGUUUAAAGGAAAGAAAGUAGUUGAUAAUAUAGAAUUACAAUCGAAAAUGGCAAGCAACAGUGCUAAACACGAAGAAGGAACUGAUUCAAAUGUGCCAUUACUGACGGAAAAGUCGACGUCUUUAAUGAAUCUUCUUAACGCUGAAUUUAGUUCAGAUGAGGAUGGUGAUUUGAGGGAAGGUGAUAACUCGACCCAAAUAUUAUCAGAUAUUUUGCAACGCAGAGAACAGUGAUACACUGUGAAUUUUUAGACCUAAUAUGAGGAAUUAUUUUUUACUGAGGAGAACAUUCCAAACAAUUUUCUUACGGAAGUUGGGCCCCCGACGAACAGAUUGGGCCAUGGCUAAAAUUGUAGGGCAUCAAAAGAGGAUUAAAACAUUCCAUGGGCAUAACAAUGUAAAAUAAAUCCCCUGAGUGCUAGAGUUCUUCGAAAAUCGUUAUUAUGACCAUGUAUCACUGGUCUUCCAAUUUCUCUGCGUCCAGGGGACAUUUUCCCUGUGCGAUGACGGCGGUAGAAGAUUGAACCAAAGACAUUGAAAUAAUGUCUGGAAUGUAUUUGGUACAGUAUUAACGCGGCUAACAAGGGAACGUUUGGAACUAUCCCUCUUCGAUUUUGAUGUGCUUUGGAUAUGGUUGUAGAAUAGUAUAUGUUGUAACGAAAAAUAACAGAUACGUAUUUUUUUAUCUGCUUCGAAGCUUGUUUAGAGGUUGAAACAACCCUUCGAAAGAAAUUUCAUAUAUUUGAUUACGAAUGAAUCCCUGAAACCGUGCGGUAUAUGAAAAAAUAUUUUAGACAAAGAGGUUAAUCUCUAUAAUCGUGUAUGUAUUUAGAUUUUUGUAAAAAGUUAUAUUUUUGCAAAAAUAACACUAAAGAGUAGGAGUUAAAAUAUGUUUAAAAAUGACAAAAAAAUCUAAACACGAAUACAGAGAUUACUUAAUACCGCAACUGUUUUGUCUAAAACAUUUGUCCAUAUACCUCACAGUUUCAAAGAUAUUCACUCGUAAUCAAAUAUAUGGAAUUUCUUUCGAGAGGUUAUUUCAACUUCACAAUAUGCUUCGAAGUCGAUAAAAGAAAAACGUGUCUGUUAUUUUUCUCUAUUCUACAACAUAUCUAAAACCUAAAACCCAUCAAAAUCGGUGAAGAACAGUUCCAAACGUUUCCUUGUAAGUCCCUGAACGCGAUUUGUGCCGUUAUGUCAGAGAAGUUAGGAUUUGGAUGUCAUACGGUUGGGUGUUGUGCGCAUAUGAUGACAGUCGUAUGAUAUUUGAGAUAUGCCUAAUUCCUUUGAUAAAGACAUCCAUGCGUCAGCAACAGCAGUCAGCGAUAUUUUUGUAUAAUUAGAGAGCUCUGCUGAGGAAGAGGAACCUGAAGAGGGAUAAGGUUCGACGAUCGCCAGACUUCAAUUAGGCAAUUAAAACUUGGUUUCGUACUUUGUGAGUACCCUCCUAUUGAUCAGUAUAUGACUCCAUGACUCGGGGCCCAAACUGGUCAUAGUCCAUUUAUGCUUUAUAAAAUUUGAUAUACCAGAGAUAACAUGCCACAAAUUUGUUAACAAUUAACAUUAAAAAGUGGUAGUUUUGUGUAUUUUUUAAAUGUCUUUUAACAUUUUUCUAUUUGUAUAAUUUGAUA